GUCAAGAGAAUUCAGAGUGUUAUUCUUUUUUUUUUUUCUAUCUAAGAUUUCUGGGUUGUGGCUAAACUUUUGGCCGAUUUCUAACCCGUUUUGGUCACAGUCCGUCAUCAGAUCGCUGCGAAACAGACGUUAUUCAACUAAGUUGUGGUGCUCUAUUAGGCCUUUCCCAGCUAAAAGAGCAUUUUGUAUUUUGGUUGCUCUGUUAAUAAAUCUGACAUUUGCUAGCACCUGUGACGCUGCUCUUAUAUUCCGAUGUUUGAAGCCCUAGCCACAUAGGUUGGCCAAGUAGCUGUGCAUCCCUCAUUGCCCUUUUCGAAGCUGCCACUCCUGCUAUGAUUAAAUGGCGAGGAGUUCCAUAAGCGCACCUCGCUUCAAUGUACAGCCUUUAAAACCAUUCGUACUUCAGGUGGUUUCUAUUUACAAGUCACCCACUCGAAUGAUGAAGGUUACUUCAACAAUAAAAUGGCUAAAUCAUAAUUUUCUUAAAAAAUGGAAGCCUUUGCCCCAAUUAUAGAGGACUUAUCACGUAUAUCAAAGCUCUAAUCGCAGUUAGAGAUCACGAUUGAGACACGUAAUUAGUGCUUACUAGUAUUGGCAAAUAACUAGGCCAACAUAUAAAAGCAUCUCCAAAUGAGAUGUCAAAAGAUAAAUGUCAAAUGUUAAUUUGAAAGCUAAUGUGACAAUGUCAGAUUUUCUUUAUUUUCAAUUGAUAUAUAUUUUUUUUGUUAUAAAUAAUAUUUGUAGGACCCAUUUAAAAAAGAAAUCAAUUAAAAUAAAUUUCAAAGAUCUAUAAUUGGUUCAUUAAUGAGACAUACACAACAAAAUAAUUAAAAAUUAUUUGACAUCACCUUUUUCUCAUAUAUCAGAUUUGGCAUAUGAAAACUCAUAUGUCAAUCCACGGUUGGAGCUUGCACUUAACUUCAAAUUUGAGUACAUGAUAUUCCACUUAGAAUUUCACAUCUCAUUUAGAGAUAAUCUAAGAUGUUUUACACUCUUGAGGAAACAAAAAAUAGCAUUUUAGUGGGCUCCCAUUAUAUAAAUAUACAUGAUAAUUUAUGGCUUGA